UACAGAGGUCUCAAGCGUUGUUCGGAAUUACUGGGCGUAAAGGGCUCGUAGGUGGCCAACUAAGUCGGACGUGAAAUCCCUCAGCUUAACUGGGGAACUGCGUCCGAUACUGGAUGGCUUGAGUUUGGGAGAGGGAUGCGGAAUUCCAGGUGUAGCGGUGAAAUGCGUAGAUAUCUGGAGGAACACCGGUGGCGAAGGCGGCAUCCUGGACCAACACUGACACUGAGGAGCGAAAGCCAGGGGAGCAAACGGG
rnacentral:rRNA from 1 species